rnacentral:rRNA from 1 species
UUAAAUUGAAGAGUUUGAUCAUGGCUCAGAUUGAACGCUGGCGGCAGGCCUAACACAUGCAAGUCGAACGGUAACAGAAAGCAGCUUGCUGCUUUGCUGACGAGUGGCGGACGGGUGAGUAAUGUCUGGGAAACUGCCUGAUGGAGGGGGAUAACUACUGGAAACGGUAGCUAAUACCGCAUAACGUCGCAAGACCAAAGAGGGGGACCUUCGGGCCUCUUGCCAUCGGAUGUGCCCAGAUGGGAUUAGCUAGUAGGUGGGGUAACGGCUCACCUAGGCGACGAUCCCUAGCUGGUCUGAGAGGAUGACCAGCCACACUGGAACUGAGACACGGUCCAGACUCCUACGGGAGGCAGCAGUGGGGAAUAUUGCACAAUGGGCGCAAG